rnacentral:rRNA from 1 species
AUUGAACGCUGGCGGCAGGCCUAACACAUGCAAGUCGAACGGUAGCACAGAGAGCUUGCUCUCGGGUGACGAGUGGCGGACGGGUGAGUAACGUCUGGGAAACUGCCCGAUGGAGGGGGAUAACUACUGGAAACGGUAGCUAAUACCGCAUAACGUCGCAAGACCAAAGUGGGGGACCUACGGGCCUCACACCAUCGGAUGUGCCCAGAUGGGAUUAGUUAGUAGGUGGGGUAAUGGCUCACCUAGGCGACGAUCCCUAGCUGGUCUGAGAGGAUGACCAGCCACACUGGAACUGAGACACGGUCCAGACUCCUACGGGAGGCAGCAGUGGGGAAUAUUGCACAAUGGGCGCAAGCCUGAUGCAGCCAUGCCGCGUGUAUGAAGAAGGCCUUCGGGUUGUAAAGUACUUUCAGCGGGGAGGAAGGCGGUGAAGUUAAUAACUUCACCGAUUGACGUUACCCGCAGAAGAAGCACCGGCUAACUCCGUGCCAGCAGCCGCCGUAA